rnacentral:rRNA from 1 species
GUGUGCCCCUUAGGCAAAUCCGGGGGGCUUAGCUGAGGCGUGACGGCGAGGUGCUACGGCACUGAAGUGAUUGAUACCAAGCUUCCAGGAAAAGCCACUAAGCUUCAGUCUAGAAUUGACCGUACCGCAAACCAACACAGGUGGGCAGGAUGAAAAUUCUAAGGCGCUUGAGAGAACUCAGGAGAAGGAACUCGGCAAAUUAACACCGUAACUUCGGGAGAAGGUGUGCCCCGGUAGGUUGUAGAGCUUCGCGCUCGAAGGCCGAUGGGGUUGCAGUGAAAUGGUGGCUGCGACUGUUUAAUAAAAACACAGCUCUCUGCAAACACGACAGUGGACGUAUAGGGAGUGACGCCUGCCCGGUGCCGGAAGGUUAAUUGAUGGGGUGCAAGCUCUUGAUCGAAGCCCCGGUAAACGGCGGCCGUAACCAUAACGGUCCUAAGGUAGCGAAAUUCCUUGUCGGGUAAGUUCCGACCUGCACGAAUGGCGUAACGAUGGCCACACUGUCUCCUCCUGAGACUCAGCGAAGUUGAAAUGUUUGUGAAGAUGCAGUCUCCCCGCGGCAAGACGGAAAGACCCCAUGAACCUUUACUGUAGCUUUGCAUUGGACUUUGAACCGGUCUGUGUAGGAUAGGUGGGAGACUAUGAAACCGGGACGCUAGUCUCGGUGGAGUCAACCUUGAAAUACCACCCUGGUUUGUUUGAGGUUCUAACCUUGAUCCGUGAAUCCGGAUCGGGGACCGUGCAUGGUGGGCAGUUUGACUGGGGCGGUCUCCUCCCAAAAGGUAACGGAGGAGUACGAAGGUACGCUUAGGGCGGUCGGACAUCGCCCAUAAAGUGCAAUGGCAAAAGCGUGCUUGACUGCGAGACCCACAAGUCGAGCAGGUGCGAAAGCAGGUCAUAGUGAUCCGGUGGUUCUGUAUGGAAGGGCCAUCGCUCAACGGAUAAAAGGUACUCUGGGGAUAACAGGCUUAUACCGCCCAAGAGUUCAUAUCGACGGCGGUGUUUGGCACCUCGAUGUCGGCUCAUCUCAUCCUGGGGCUGUAGCCGGUCCCAAGGGUAUGGCUGUUCGCCAUUUAAAGAGGUACGUGAGCUGGGUUUAAAACGUCGUGAGACAGUUUGGUCCCUAUCUGCCGUGGGCGCUGGAAAUUUGAAGGGGGCUGCUCCUAGUACGAGAGGACCGGAGUGGACGAACCUCUGGUGUACCGGCUAUGACGCCAGUCGUAUCGCCGGGUAGCUAUGUUCGGAAGAGAUAAACGCUGAAAGCAUCUAAGCGUGAAACUCGCCUUAAGAUAAGAUUUCCCGGAGUCUUGAACUCCUUAAAGGGUCGUCGAAGACCACGACGUUGAUAGGUCAGGUGUGGAAGCGCAGUAAUGCGUUAAGCUAACUGAUACUAAUUGCCCGUACGGCUUGGC